rnacentral:rRNA from 1 species
CGCUCCUUGUUAUAUCAAAUAUAAGGAGUCGAACCUGCCCAGUGAGAUUUUUAACGGCCGCGGUACUCUGACCGUGCAAAGGUAGCAUAAUCAUUUGCCUUAUAAUUGAAGGCUUGUAUGAAUGGUUUGACGAAAUCGAUACUGUCUCUUUUUUAUUUUAUAGAAUUUGACUUAAGGGUGAAGAGGCUCUUAUUUUACUGAAGGACAAGAAGACCCUGUCGAGCUUAAAAAAUAAAUGGAGAAUUAAUAUAAAAUUAAAUAAAUAAAAUACCAAAUAAUUUUUUUUGGUUGGGGCGACUGAGGAACAAAAAAAGCUUCCUCUAAUUUUUUAUGUCUUACGAGCUAGAGAUCCAGUUAUACUGAUUACAGGAAUUAGUUACCGCAGGGAUAACAGCAUAAUCUCUCUUAAGAGACCAUAUCGAAAGGGGGGGUUGUGACCUCGAUGUUGGACUAGGGUAUCCUAAAGAUGUAGAAGUCUUUAAAGGUUGGUCUGUUCGACCAUUAAAAUCCU